rnacentral:lncRNA from 10 species
GCCAGUGCCCACAGAAAAACUAAAUUCGGAACCUCUUCCUCCUGUUACACUGGCAACAAAGAGGGAGUUUCCGUAGCGCUCCCGUCACCCACCAGGUGCCCAAUCUCCUUCCCAGCCCAGAGUCGGCGCUCCCGCAGGGGCCUCCGAGUGCGGGGAGGCCGCGGGGCCCGGGUCACGGCACUAAGGGGGGAUGGGGUGCAAGCGAGCAAGCGAGGUCUGCGGAGCGGGCCGUGGAAGGGCUCCGGGACCCGCUGAAACCAUCUGAACCCAGCCAGGGGGCAGCGGGCAAGAGAAAAGGGACAGAAUAUCUAAUGAAGCAGAAACUGGAAUUCGGUGGGAGAGGUGAAGAGCUCUUGCUGGGGGUACACCUGCGAGGAGCACAGAAAACGGGCGGCGGAUGGCGGGGAGACUCCACGGAGGUGGAAGAGAGGAGCCAGGCCCGGAAGAACAGGGAAGGGGAUGCCACCUGGGGCAGAGGAGGCGCCAGUGCAGCCUCUACCUGCAGGCGGGCGGGACGGGCAGCUCAGGUGUGACUGGGAGGAGGGGGCCGACUGGGGAAGGGGCCGGGAAGAGCUGAGGGCGCACUAGGCGCCGCGCAGAGGCGCCUUUGAGUCGGCAGCCGCGGAGCCAGCGCACGGGCAUCGGCGGGACCCGGCGGACGGAAAGGCGGAGUGGGGGUCUUUGGACUGCACGACUAUAAUUUCAUGUGUGUGAAAUUCAAGGGGAAAAAGGAAACAAUACAUAAUCCAGCAUCACCAGUGUCACACUUCAGGACCUGAUGAAAUGUUUUAUCUUCUGAAAAGCUUUCCUGGCUCAGAUGAGGUGACUCAUGUCAGCCUACACAAAGGCUUCUUCAUAUACUAGAAUUUCUACUAUAAUUUUUCAGCCUUUCCACAAAACAAGUCUUACCAUAAUCCAGCAACAGAGCAAAAGAGAAGUCAAUGAUGAGAAGCUUGAUAAUGUAAAGGUUUAGUUCUAAGUCUGUAGCUUCUCAUGGAUCGUGCAAAGCACCACCAGGACAGACAUCUCAAGCACAUUUGAAGAGCUCCUGUUUCCUAAGUAAGACAGCAGCAGCAAGACUGCAAUCAUUUCUGGGAAGGCAGUAUCAUCAUAAUGCAAUAUUAGCUACUGUGAUCUUCUAUCAUUUCCUUCCUGGAGAGUUAUGACUGUGGCAUUGAAGAUUUAAGACCUACAGCCUCAACACUACUUACUACAAAUCUCUCACAAAGCUGCUGCAAUAAAUCUCGUGGAGGAAAGUCAUUGCAUAAAAAAAUCCUCAACUCCAGGGAGUUGGCCAUUUAUUUUCCUAGAAAAGGGGCUGUGAUGAGAGACACUCCAUGCUCCUUUAACUCCAUGGAACAGAACCCAACAAAACAUUCAUCAUGGAAAGUUGACUGAUGGGCCCAGUGAGACUAGCUGGGGAAGGAAGAUGGAAAGAGAAGUGCCCCAUCCAAGGCCUGCUCCUUUUCCUAGCUGCAGCCCGGAGGGAUUUCCUCUUAGCUUGAGGAUUGACUUUCCAUAGAAUCAGCACCACUGAGGGUAAGCUUCCCUGAAGACAAACUCUGUCAUUGGAGAGCUCAGCCAGGGGUCUAAAACUGGACCCUAUGGACUCCACAGAUUUAUUUAGUCUGCACAGUGUUUAAAAAUGUUUUUAGUUAGGGCCAGGCAUGGUGGCUCCCACCUGUAAUCCCAGCACUUUGAGAGGCCGAGGUGGGUGGAUCACCUAAGGUCAGGAGUUUGAGACCAGCCUGCCUGACAUGGCAAAACCCAGUCUCUACUAAAAAUACAAAAAUUAGCUGGGCAUGGUUGCUCAGGCCUGUAAUCUCAGAUACUUGGGAGGCUGAGGCACAAGAAUCACUUGAACCUGGGAGGCGGAGGUUGCAGUGAGCCAAGAUCGCACCAUUGCACUCCAGCUUGGGUGACAAGAGUGAAACUCCAUCUCAAAAAAAAAAAAAAAAGUUUCUAGUUAGUUCCCAACAUAAAAAAUUAACAAUUUUGCAAAGAAAGAUAAAAUCCAGAUUUUGGGCUCCCCUAAACAAAUUGGGAUAUCUGAAAACAGUGGGCCACAUUCCUACAUUCCUGCCCCUGUUGACAGUAUGCGCCUGCUCUAAUUUUACUUCCCCUUUUACCCUAACUGCCCUGUAGGGAAUGGAGUUUGCAAUCCCCAUACUAAUCCAUCACCCUGCAGGUCCAUUCCCCUCCUCCCUGACCUCUGUUCUGAUAAGGGGUGAGAGAAUGAACCCCCAUAUGUAUUGAAUGGAAAAUACAUGUAUUGGCCAGGCACAGCGGCUCACACUUGUAAUCCCAGCACUUUGGGAGGCCAAGAUGGGCAGAUCACCUGAGGUCAGGAGUUCAAGACCAGCCUGGCCAAUAUGGCGAAACCGUGUUUCUACUAAAAAUAAUUUAAAAACAAAAUUAGCCAGACAUGAUGGCAGGCGCCUAUAAUCCCAACUACUCAGGAGGCUGGGGCAGGAGAAUCGUUUGAACCCAGGAGGCGGAGGCUGCAGUGAGCCAAGAUCGCACCAUGGCACACCAGCCUGGGCAACAAGACUGAAACUCCAUCUCAAAAAAAAUAAAAAUAAAAAUACAUGUAUUGAUGAGAAAAUACAACUGACUAAUCCCACCUAAACCAUGACCUCAUAUAAAUUCAGAAGAUCUUUCUAACAUGGCAGGGAGGCAGCCUAGUAUAAAGCAAAGAGCACAUGCUUUGCGAAUGUAAACCAAAAAUAAAAGUUGAAGGCCCUCCUCACCAUAUGAAUGGUCUCCUUCCUUUGCCAGGGCACCCUAAAAUUUAACUGGUUGAGGCCAUGAUGGGUAGUAGGGGUUGGACAUGCCUCAUUAUACCCUUCCAGCAGUAACAUCAACACAGACUUUAAGUCUGAUAAGAAACAUUUACAGUCUAUUUUCUCUAAAGCCUGCUACUUGGAGAUAUAAAACCUAGGUCUCCACAACCCCUAUUGUAACCCAGCCAUUUCUUUCUAAUGAUAAUAAGUCUUUCAACCAAUUGCCAAUCAGAAUAUGUUUAAAUCUUCCUAUGACCUAGAAGCACCCCACUCUUUGAGUUGUCCCACCCUUCCAGAUUGAACCAAUGUAAAUGGUUCAAUUGAUUGAUGUGUUAUAUCUCCCUAAAGUGUAUAAAAGGAAGCUGUACCUCAACCAUCUUGGGCACGCGUCUUCAGGAACUCCUGAGUCUGUGUCACAGGUGUGUCCUUAACCUUGGCAAAGUAAACUUUCCAUUACUUAUAAUGGCAAAAACUGCAAUUACUUUUGCACCAACCUAAUAAAUGGAUUGAGACUUGCCUCAGAUACUUAUUGGUUUAUACCUAGAGGCAGACCUUGGCUCAAAUCCCAUCUCUCCCUUACUCUGGGAUAUUGUCCAACUUGCUCAGCCUCUUGAAACCUACUUUGCUUACAGCAAAAUGGGUAUAAGGGGAUCUUUCACCCAAGCCUUUUGUGAGGACUAAAUGUGGUAAUGGACAUUAAGUGCCAGACCCCUUGAAUGUGCCAUCUUCUCUCAGCUUCUAUAAUGUCAUGCUGUCAGUUCCCUCCUUUUCUUUUUUUCUUUUCUUUUCUUUUUUUUUUUUUUUUUUGAGACGGAGUCUUGCUCUGUCCCCCAGGCUGGAGUGCAGUGGCACGAUCUCGGCUCACUGCAAGCUCCGCCUCCCGGGUUCACGCCAUUCUCCUGCCUCAGCCUUCCGAGUAGCUGGGACUACAGGCGUCCGUCACCGCGCCUGGCUAAUUGUUUUUGUAUUUUUCUUAGAGACUGGGUUUCACAGUGGUCUCGAUCUCCUGACCUCGUGGUCCGCCCGCCUCGGCCUCCCAAAGUGCUGGGAUUACAGGUGUGAGCCACCGCGCCCAGCCUAGUUCCCUCCUUUUCAUGGCUUCUUUGCUUCAUCUUUUCUGUCUCCUUUGAAGGUAUGCCUUCCUGGAAUAUACCAUAAAUGUCAGUGUUCCUCAGGAUUCUAUCUUGACCUGACUCCCCCGACCCAACUGCUAGCUUUUCCCUCUGUCUAAUGCUGGUACAGAUACAUAAACUGAUAGGUAGAUUACAACACAAUUCGAUUUUCUGUUUUGCUUUUUUUUUUGGCUUAUUAUUACAUAAACUUUUUUUCAUUGCUGCCAUACAUUCUUCAAAAUAAACACUUCGGGGGGCGAGCUGGCCCAGCACUUUGGGAGGCCAAGGAGGUGGAUCACUUCAGGUCAGGAGUUCGAGACCAGCCUGACCAACAUGGUGAAACCCCCAUCUCUACUAAAAAUACAAAAAUUAGCCGGGUGUUGGUGCAAGCACCUGUAAUCUCAACUGCUCGGGAGGCUGAGGCAUGAAAAUCACUUGAACCCGCGAGGCAGAGGUUGCAGUGAGCCAAUAUAGUACCACUGUACUCCAGCCUGGGCAACAGAGCUGCGAGACCUUGUCUCAAACAAAACAAAACAAAACAAAAUAAACACUUCAUGGCUGAACAAUAUGCCAUUUCCUGAAUAGAUUGUAAUUUACCUAAUCAUUUCUCUAAUAGUGGACACUUAGGUUGUUCUAAUUUUGAAAGGCAGGAAUACCAAGAAUGUUUUCUUGCACAUGGCAGAUUAUUUCUCAGUAUAGGCUCAUCCUUUCGAGUAUAUGGCAUCUUUUCUUCUUUCCCUCCUCUCUCUCCUCAGAAGUACUCAAGGCCCCGGAGAUACUUUGGCUGUAUCCCCACCAAUCUCAUCUUGAAUUGUAGCUCCCAUGAUUCCCAUGUAUCCUGAGAGGGACCCAGUGGGAGGUAAUUGAAUCAUGGGGGCAGGUCUUUCCCGUGCUGUUCUAGAGAUAGUGAAUGAGUCUCACAAGAUCUGAUGGUUUUAUAAAGGGCGGUUCCCCUACACAAGUUCUCUCUUGCCUGCCACUUUGCUCCUCAUUUGCUCUCUGCCAUGACUGUGAGCCCUCCCCAGCCAUAUGCAACUGUGAGUCAAUUAAACCUCUUUUCUUAAUAAAUUACCCAGUCUCUGGUAUGUCUGUAUUAGCAGUGUGAGACAGACUAAUACAGCCCUUAUGUGUCCAGAAGUACUGACUUUCUUGGAUGAUACCUUAAGUAAAGCCUAAUAAAGCUUUAGUGACUGAUACAUUUUUAAAAAUGAAGUAAUUAUUUAUGUGUAAUGAGACAAAUUAUUUAUUUCAGAGUGUUAUUUGCCUUACUCUCUUCCCCCAGCAAAAGGAGUCCUCAAGUGGCCAGCCACAUUUUCUCAUUUCUCCUUUCUUCAAAAACUGAUGGGAUCUUGCUUGAUGAAGUCACAUAACAAGUGAAUACAGCAAAGAGAGAGGGAAGGGGGAGGAAAUAGCCGUUGGGAAUGGAGUGUUGUUGGAUGAGCUUUGUGAAGUGUGGGAAGAGAAAGAUACUAGAGGAGACCGAGACAAAUGGAUAGGUGAAGAAACAGAAUUUUAGUAAGUGGUGCUGUAUGCUAUAUAUGUGGAUUUGCCUCAAAGUUUUAAAAAAUGGCAAGCAG